rnacentral:rRNA from 1 species
AGCAGCCGCGGUAAUUCCAGCUCCAAUAGCGUAUAUUAAAGUUGUUGCAGUUAAAAAGCUCGUAGUUGAAUUUCGGGAUUGACACAUCGGUCGUGCCUUAAGGGGUAUGAACUGGUGUAGUCAAUUUCUCACCUUCUGGAGAACCGCGAUGUCCUUAAUUGGGUGCCGCGGGGAACCAGGACCUUUACUUUGAAAAAUUAGAGUGUUUAAAGCAGGCAUUUUUGCUUGAAUACAUUAGCAUGGAAUAAUAAAAUAGGACGGCAUGGUUCUAUUUUGCUGGUUUCUAGGACCACCGUAAUGAUUAAUAGGGAUAGUUGGGGGCAUUAGUAUUCAAUUGUCAGAGGUGAAAUUCUUGGAUUUAUUGAAGACUAACUACUGCGAAAGCAUUUGCCAAGGAUGUUUUCAUUAAUCAAGAACGAAAGUUAGGGGAUCGAAGACGAUCAGAUACCGUCGUAGUCUUAACCAUAAACUAUGCCGACUAGGAAUCAGACGAUGUUAAUUUUUAAUGUACUCGUUUGCA